rnacentral:misc_RNA from 1 species
UCUAGGGAGCCACUGUUUCUUGCGCAUGAUGCGUUUGUGUGUUGUGUGUGGGGUGUCAUCAGGCGUGUUGUCUGGUGGUGAGUGUGGUUUUUAGUGGAUGCAAUGUGAUUGGCUGGCAUGCUGUUGGGGUGUGGGGUAACACCUGGUGCUUCUCAUGUGCAAUGACAUGGUUUGUGUUGUUGUGUGUGGGUGGUGUGGUGGUUGAGAAUUGUAUAGUGGAUGCGAGCAUCUUUUGGUUUUUGUAAGUGUUUUAGGGCGUUCGGUGGAUGCCUUGGUACGCGGAGCCGAUGAAGGACGUUGUAGCCUGCGAUAUUCCUCGGGGAGUUGGCAUACGAGCUGUGAUCCGAGGGUUUCCGAAUGGGGGAACCUGGCCAAAGUUGUUUUUGGUUACCAUCAUCUGAAUGUAUAGGGUGGUGGGGAACCGG